CCCCCAGUAACUGCGAGUGAAGAGGGAAGAGCUCAUCAUUGGAAUCUGGCAGCGUUGCGCUGUCCGAGUUGUAGAUGAGAAGAGUAGGUCAUCUGGACUGCGUGGUGUCCAAGUACAAUAGGCCGUCAGUGGGACAUCAUAGAGGGUGACAAUCCCGUCCUUGACAACCAACGUACGAGUCCAUUACGAUGCCUAUCUCAGAGAGUCGAGCAGUUUGGGAUUUGCUGCUUAAACAUGGGAGGUAGAUUCCUUCUAAAGCUAAAUACAGGCAAGAGACCGAUAGAGAACAAGUACCGCAAGGGAAAGAUGAAAUAGAACUCUGUGAAGGGAGUCAAAAAGACGUGAAAUUGUUGCGAGAGAAGCGAUUCAAGUCAGCGUAGCUAGGCCCAUCAAGCUUCUUGCUUUGGACUAGCUUUGCCAGCGGUCUUGUCCUUUUAGAGACUUGACUUUUGACGUGCCCUGUCCGGUCUAACGGGCAGGCCCUUCGGGGCCAGUGGCAUGGCUGGUGGAAUGGCUUGCAAUCGACCCGUCUUGAAACACGGACCAAGGAGUCUAACAUGUGUGCGAGUAUAAGGGUGGCAAACCCGUAUGCGCAAAGAAAGUGAUAGCCUUUUAUGGCUGAGAAUGGCCUGAUGACCAGACAAGCAAUAUUAUGUUCCUCGUACGGUCAUUGCCCAAGUCCCGUGGUCAGAUCCCAUGGACAUGGAGUUAGAGCAUACAUGCUAGGACCCGAAAGAUGGUGAACUAUGCCUGGACAAAGCGAAGCCAAAGGAAACUCUGGUGGAGGCUUGUAGCGAUUCUGACGUGCAAAUCGAUCGUCUGAUCUGGGUAUAGGGGCGAAAGACUAAUCGAACCAUCUCAUAGCUGGU
rnacentral:rRNA from 1 species